UCCUGGUUAGCUCAGUUGGUAGAGCGCUCAACUGGGAAGGGAGAGGUGCCUGGUUCGACACCAGGACCAAACGGAU
rnacentral:tRNA from 1 species